AAUGAACUCUGUUUUAAAGUAUUUAUUUCAUUGGUUUUUUUCCUUUUAUUAAUUUUGGGUGUGUUUUUUAGUUUUUCUGACUCCAUUAAGUGUUGCUUCUGAUGUCUAUUGUCAUAUAUGUCCCUCUAGGAACUGCUUUUGUGUCUCAAAGAUUUUUGACCAUGAUAUUUCCAGUUUUAUUUGUGUCCUCAUGUUUAAGUUCCUUCUUGUUUUCUCCAUUAAUUAACCCAUUGGUUGUUUAGUAGUAUGUUGUUUCACAUCCAUGUUUUCUUGUUUUUCUAGUUUUAUUUUUGUAAUGGAUUUCUAGUUUCAUACCAUUGUGUUUGGAAAAGAUCAAUCUUUUUGAAUUUAUUUAAAUUUGUGUUCUUACAUGUGAUGUAUCCUGGAGAGUGUUUCAUGUGCAUAUAAAGAACGUGUGUUCUGCUAUUUGUGGAUGGCAUGUUAUGUGUAUAUUUUAAGUUCAUUUGGUCUAAUGUAUCAUUUAAAGCCACUCUUUCUUAUUGACUGUCUGUGUGGAUGAUCUUUCUAUUGCUGUAAGUGGGGUGUUCAAGUUUCCUACUAUCAGUGUAUUAUUGUCAAUUUCUCCCCUAUGUCUGUUAAUAUUUUUUUUUAUAUAUUCAGGUGCGCCUAUGGUAAGUGCACAGAUAUUUACAAUUGUUGUAUCCUCUUGCUUAUCACUUAUUAUUCAUUGCCCUUGUAUAUUGCUAUAGUAUUUUUCUUAGUUUAUUAUGUCCGAUAGAAGUAUAGUUACACUGGCUUUCCCCCCCCCCCCCCCCCCGCUUCUAUUUGCAUGGAACAUCUUUAUAUAUUCCUUAACUUUCAGUUUGUAUGUGUCUUUAGGUCUGAAGUGGGUCUCUUGUAAACAACAUAUAGGUGGAUCUUUUGUUUUCUUUUUGAAAUCCAUUCAGUCUGUCUAUUUUGAUUGGAACAUUCAGUCCAUUUAAUUUAAGGUAAUUAUUUAAUAUAUAUGUGCUUGUUCCCAUUUUGUUAAUUUUAUUAAUUUUAUUUUCCUUUUUUCUUCUCUUUCUUCCCUUGUGAUUCCUUUCUUUUAUAGUUUGAUUUGUGGUUACCAUGAUGUUCAUAUAUAACAUCCUAUGCAUAUAGCACUUCAUGUAAAGGUGACUGUUGCUUAAGUUUGAACACAUUCUAAAAGAAUUAUGUUUUUACUCCCUCUUCCAUGUAUAUGAAAUAUUUCCUAUCUUUUUUGUAUCUCUUAACUAACUGUAUAUAAAAUUGAUAUUAGUAUUUUUGUAAGUUUUUGGUCUGCUUUUUCUCUAUGGGCUCUUUUUCCUUUCAAAGAAGUCUAAUAUGUCUUAUAUGGCCAUUUUAGUGGUGAUACACUCUACCUUUUGUUCAUCUGGAAACUUCUUUAUGUCUUCUUCAAUUCUGAAUGCUAACCUUGCUGGUUUCAGUAUACUUGGUUGUAGGUUUUUUCCUUUCAGUACUUCAAAUCUACCAUACCACUGCAUUCUGGCCUGCAAAGUUUCUGCUCAAGAAUCAACUUAAAGCUUAAAAUGGGUUUUCUUGCAAGUAAGCAAUUGCUUUUCUUUUGCUCCUUUAAAAAUUCUCUUUAAUUUUUAUGUCAUAAUUAGUAUCUGUCCUGAUGUGGGCCCUUUUGGGUUCACACUGGAGCUCUCUGUCGAUCCUGGAGCUUGAUGUCUGUUUCAUUCCCCAGUGUAGGGAAAUUUUCAGUGAUUAUUUCUUUAAGUUUUCUAUGUGAAUGGCAUUAUCCUUGAUGUUGUCCUAGAGGUUUCUUCUUUUAGAUCACUGAUCUGUCCUGCAUCUUGUUAUCUGCUAUUGAUUCUCUGUACUAUAUUUUUCAUUUCAGUCGUUGUACUUUACAGCUCUGAUUGGUUAUAUUUUCUGCUUCCUUGCUGAAGUUUUCAAGCUGCUCAUCCACUCUUCUCUCAAGUAUGGUGGUCAUCUUCAUGACUAUUGCUUUGAACUCUUGAUCAGGGCAAGACUUGCUUUGGAGUGGUGCUGGUUCUGGACCGGGUUGACCACAAGGCAUGGCAGGGUAAUAGUCGCUAUACAGGAACACCUGCAAUGGUAAGUCCACAGGAUAGAUGGCGAAUGACCAACUGGCACCUACCUGUGUCAGGCCAGCUAGGCUCAAGAGGGGCAAGAAAAGUGGUACCUGCCAGCACUUCUGUACCUGGAGAUAGUUCCUGCCCCCCUGGCACAUGUCCUAGUCUAUAAAUGUCCUACAUGUGUAGCUUGGGCACUUUUCAAACUGCUGCCUCUGUGGUCUCAUUGUACUUGAGCCCUUUAAGGGUGUAUCCCUCUUUCUGAUAGCCCUCCACUCUUACUGAAGUGAACCCCCUGCUUAUUUUCAAAGCCUGAUGUUAUGGGGCUCAUCGAGCCAAUGCAGAUCCCUGUGACUGAGCGUGCCCAAUGAGGGACUUCAAACCCUCAUCCUUCAGGGAGGACCUCCACCCCUGUGAUAUCCUUCCUGCUGGUUGGUCACUGAGGGUUUUGUCAGGACUACAUCUCUGCCCAUCGUACCUUUCUAGAUGUAGCUUUCUCUUCGUAUCUUUAAUUGUGGAAAAGCUGUCCUGUCAGUCUUCGGGUUGUUCUCAGAAUGAGGUGUACUGUAUGCCAUUGCAGCCUUGUGUCUGCAGGAGGAAUUGAGCUCAGAUUCUUCACUUCUCCUCUUGACCAGUAAAAGACUAUUAGACAUAGGU